rnacentral:lncRNA from 1 species
ACAAACAAAUCUAUCCAUCUAACUAACAAAAAAAUUGCGACCGUUGAGCCGACCAUGUGUUCUCCUUGAAACUGGCUAAGCUUCAAUGUGGAUACAGUUAGACCCCCAACCCUUCAGGGUCUUUGAUAAAACGUCGCUUGAAGAUUUUUACGCACUUUGUUGCAUUUGAGCCCAAAUCUUGGAUUUGACUUUUCUAGUACUGAGCACGCAUCUACAGAUCGAUUGACAAUUGGGAGUACGCGAGCGGCGACACCUUGACUAGCGUGGAGAGACAUGCACUGGAAUUUGAUUCAUCACAAAAAACCCCCCCAGUGUCUAGAACCCUUACCUGCACACAAUGUCAAAUUUCCAAUCGCCGAGAUUUGUGUCCAUUUUAUCCACUGUGAACACAAGACCCUUUUUCUGUGCUCAUACGUAACCAUCAGUCCGGUAACUCUAGUCAUAGCGUAUCAUAUCGGUGUCCCAGCACAUGGACCUCUGGAUUAGGGUUCUGCACUACUGUACUGCUGAUGUCGGUAGUGGUACGUAGUUUGGUGGGAAAUGAAGAUUAACACGAGCAAAGCGUUCCUUCCUCAGUGGGUGAGCCAUCCGAAGAUUGACUGAUCAUAUUUGUGUCUCGAGAGAUGUGAGAUGUACAGGUUCGAGUAGGUUGGUUACUUGUUAUGGAAGGUGUGUGGCUUUAACGCCUUUGUUUGUCUAC